UACGUAGGUGGCAAGCGUUGUUCGGAAUUAUUGGGCGUAAAGGGUCCGUAGGCGGACCUGUAAGUCAGUGGUGAAAUCUCAUAGCUUAACUAUGAAACUGCCAUUGAUACUGCAGGUCUUGAGUAAAUUAGAGGUAGCUGGAAUAAGUAGUGUAGCGGUGAAAUGCAUAGAUAUUACUUAGAACACCAAUUGCGAAGGCAGGUUACCAUGAUUUAACUGACGCUGAGGGACGAAAGCGUGGGGAGCGAACAGG
rnacentral:rRNA from 1 species